rnacentral:rRNA from 1 species
GACGAACGCUGGCGGCGUGCUUAACACAUGCAAGUCGAACGGUAAGGCCCUUCGGGGUACACGAGUGGCGAACGGGUGAGUAACACGUGGGUGAUCUGCCCUGCACUUCAGGAUAAGCCCGGGAAACUGGGUCUAAUACUGGAUAUGACCUGACCUUGCAUGGGGUUGGGUGGAAAGUUUUUCGGUGCAGGAUGAGCCCGCGGCCUAUCAGCUUGUUGGUGAGGUAAUGGCUUACCAAGGCGACGACGGGUAGCCGGCCUGAGAGGGCGACCGGCCACACUGGGACUGAGACACGGCCCAGACUCCUACGGGAGGCAGCAGUGGGGAAUAUUGCACAAUGGGCGAAAGCCUGAUGCAGCGACGCCGCGUGAGGGACGACGGCCUUCGGGUUGUAAACCUCUUUCAGCAGGGACGAAGCGAAAGUGACGGUACCUGCAGAAGAAGCACCGGCCAACUACGUGCCAGCCGCCGCCGUAACAC